rnacentral:pre_miRNA from 1 species
UAUCUGCUCCCUCCGUUCGGAAUUACUUGUCACAAAAAUGGAUGUAUCUACAACUAAAAUACAUCUAGAUACAUUCAUUUUUUGGACGAGUAAUUCCGAACGGAGGGAGUAAUGC